rnacentral:rRNA from 1 species
UCCUAUGACCACAUCACGCCACAUAAGCCCCAAUCUCGUCUCAUCCCGGAAGCUAAACAGAGUUGAACCUGGAUAGUACUUGGAUGGGUGAUCACCAGAGCCUGGCAGCUGUUGUAGGGA